UGCGAGAGUGGCUGAGCGGCCAAAAGCGGCGGGCUUAAGACCCGCUCCCGUAGGGGUUCAUGGGUUCGAAUCCCAUCUCUCGCAU
rnacentral:tRNA from 1 species